CGGGCGAGGCUGGACCAUUUAGAAUGAGCAGAUGUGGAGAAUUUGUCAGAAUGGAACAAUGUGAGGUUGAACCGGAUCCUUGUGGACUAUAUGUUGAGGAUGUCUUAUUAUGAUACUGCGGUGAGGUGAAGAUGGCCGAAAGCCAAAAUAUUCAGGAACUGCAGUUUGGAGCCACUGCCUCAAAAGUUUUAUGAGUCAUAGUUGAAGAGAUUUGCCUUCUAUUGUUGUUCAUGUGACAGGUGCCUUAGUUUACAGUUCAACUCUCACUGAAAGAGUGUUCAUUCUGGUUGAAGG